ACCAGAGUCCCAUGCUUAGAAAAAUAAUUCCUGCUUUGUUCUUAAGUCAUAUGAAAAUUCGGGCUAGGUGACUCUCACACGGUCAUUUAACCUAGUAAAAUAGAGACAUAUGCGAAACAUGCAGAAGAAAAAUAAAUAAAUAUAUGUAUAUACAUAAGAAUAUGCCUAUGGUUGGUUGGUUCAGAGGUAUCUGGUGCUGAACUUGGUAGGGUGGAUUACGAUCCAAUCCCCCACAACUGCAAAUUGGGUUAAAUAAAGGGGUUACACCAACUUAUGUACCAGAGCCCCAUGCUUAAGAUCAUAAUCACUAACCGGUCACUUUACUAUGAGUAUGUACGGAUAACGGGCUUAAUGUGAUUGCACAUGAAUGAAAAGGACUUGAUGAAAACGAAAAGAAGGCCUAGGUAUGGUGGGGUAAUGUGGAUUGAUUUGUAUUAGAGUGAAAGAAAGGAAGGAGAGAAAAGAGAGAGAGAGAGAGAAAGUGGAUCUGAAUUCUGUUAUGUAUUGAUUCUGUUUGUUAUAUAUUUUUAUUCUUUGACAGUGAAUAGGAUAUAUAUAAGUAUCAUAACCUGUGCCACUACUGGACUUAACCUACACCACACACACUAACUAACUACACGUUAGUUAUGAUGACAUGGCACUCUAGAAUAUACACUAAUACUCCCUCACAAGUUCAAGGUGGCUGCAAAGUCAGGCUUGAGGCAGACAGGUUGAGCUUGCUUCUGAGCUCCAGAAAUCUUGAACUUCAAAGACUUCCCAUAAAGGAAGGUAUGUACGCUCUUGUCAUGAAUAGAUCAAAAUGAGUCUUGAGGUCAUUACAGGGAGAGCCAGCCGUUGAGGUUACAAAUGAAGGUGUUGAUACUGCAGGGCAUACAAUUGGUACAUCUUUGGAGGUCGUGUUCAAACUUAG